AGCGUACACGGUGGAUGCCCUGGCAGUCAGAGGCGAUGAAGGACGUGCUAAUCUGCGAUAAGCGUCGGUAAGGUGAUAUGAACCGUUAUAACCGGCGAUUUCCGAAUGGGGAAACCCAGUGUGAUUCGUCACACUAUCAUUAACUGAAUCCAUAGGUUAAUGAGGCGAACCGGGGGAACUGAAACAUCUAAGUACCCCGAGGAAAAGAAAUCAACCGAGAUUCCCCCAGUAGCGGCGAGCGAACGGGGAGCAGCCCAGAGCCUGAAUCAGUGUGUGUGUUAGUGGAAGCGUCUGGAAAGGCGCGCGAUACAGGGUGACAGCCCCGUACACAAAAAUGCACAUGCUGUGAGCUCGAUGAGUAGGGCGGGACACGUGGUAUCCUGUCUGAAUAUGGGGGGACCAUCCUCCAAGGCUAAAUACUCCUGACUGACCGAUAGUGAACCAGUACCGUGAGGGAAAGGCGAAAAGAACCCCGGCGAGGGGAGUGAAAAAGAACCUGAAACCGUGUACGUACAAGCAGUGGGAGCACGCUUAGGCGUGUGACUGCGUACCUUUUGUAUAAUGGGUCAGCGACUUAUAUUCUGUAGCAAGGUUAACCGAAUAGGGGAGCCGAAGGGAAACCGAGUCUUAACUGGGCGUUAAGUUGCAGGGUAUAGACCCGAAACCCGGUGAUCUAGCCAUGGGCAGGUUGAAGGUUGGGUAACACUAACUGGAGGACCGAACCGACUAAUGUUGAAAAAUUAGCGGAUGACUUGUGGCUGGGGGUGAAAGGCCAAUCAAACCGGGAGAUAGCUGGUUCUCCCCGAAAGCUAUUUAGGUAGCGCCUCGUGAAUUCAUCUCCGGGGGUAGAGCACUGUUUCGGCAAGGGGGUCAUCCCGACUUACCAACCCGAUGCAAACUGCGAAUACCGGAGAAUGUUAUCACGGGAGACACACGGCGGGUGCUAACGUCCGUCGUGAAGAGGGAAACAACCCAGACCGCCAGCUAAGGUCCCAAAGUCAUGGUUAAGUGGGAAACGAUGUGGGAAGGCCCAGACAGCCAGGAUGUUGGCUUAGAAGCAGCCAUCAUUUAAAGAAAGCGUAAUAGCUCACUGGUCGAGUCGGCCUGCGCGGAAGAUGUAACGGGGCUAAACCAUGCACCGAAGCUGCGGCAGCGACGCUUAUGCGUUGUUGGGUAGGGGAGCGUUCUGUAAGCCUGUGAAGGUGUACUGUGAGGUAUGCUGGAGGUAUCAGAAGUGCGAAUGCUGACAUAAGUAACGAUAAAGCGGGUGAAAAGCCCGCUCGCCGGAAGACCAAGGGUUCCUGUCCAACGUUAAUCGGGGCAGGGUGAGUCGACCCCUAAGGCGAGGCCGAAAGGCGUAGUCGAUGGGAAACAGGUUAAUAUUCCUGUACUUGGUGUUACUGCGAAGGGGGGACGGAGAAGGCUAUGUUGGCCGGGCGACGGUUGUCCCGGUUUAAGCGUGUAGGCUGGUUUUCCAGGCAAAUCCGGAAAAUCAAGGCUGAGGCGUGAUGACGAGGCACUACGGUGCUGAAGCAACAAAUGCCCUGCUUCCAGGAAAAGCCUCUAAGCAUCAGGUAACAUCAAAUCGUACCCCAAACCGACACAGGUGGUCAGGUAGAGAAUACCAAGGCGCUUGAGAGAACUCGGGUGAAGGAACUAGGCAAAAUGGUGCCGUAACUUCGGGAGAAGGCACGCUGAUAUGUAGGUGAAGUCCCUCGCGGAUGGAGCUGAAAUCAGUCGAAGAUACCAGCUGGCUGCAACUGUUUAUUAAAAACACAGCACUGUGCAAACACGAAAGUGGACGUAUACGGUGUGACGCCUGCCCGGUGCCGGAAGGUUAAUUGAUGGGGUUAGCGCAAGCGAAGCUCUUGAUCGAAGCCCCGGUAAACGGCGGCCGUAACUAUAACGGUCCUAAGGUAGCGAAAUUCCUUGUCGGGUAAGUUCCGACCUGCACGAAUGGCGUAAUGAUGGCCAGGCUGUCUCCACCCGAGACUCAGUGAAAUUGAACUCGCUGUGAAGAUGCAGUGUACCCGCGGCAAGACGGAAAGACCCCGUGAACCUUUACUAUAGCUUGACACUGAACAUUGAGCCUUGAUGUGUAGGAUAGGUGGGAGGCUUUGAAGUGUGGACGCCAGUCUGCAUGGAGCCGACCUUGAAAUACCACCCUUUAAUGUUUGAUGUUCUAACGUUGACCCGUAAUCCGGGUUGCGGACAGUGUCUGGUGGGUAGUUUGACUGGGGCGGUCUCCUCCUAAAGAGUAACGGAGGAGCACGAAGGUUGGCUAAUCCUGGUCGGACAUCAGGAGGUUAGUGCAAUGGCAUAAGCCAGCUUGACUGCGAGCGUGACGGCGCGAGCAGGUGCGAAAGCAGGUCAUAGUGAUCCGGUGGUUCUGAAUGGAAGGGCCAUCGCUCAACGGAUAAAAGGUACUCCGGGGAUAACAGGCUGAUACCGCCCAAGAGUUCAUAUCGACGGCGGUGUUUGGCACCUCGAUGUCGGCUCAUCACAUCCUGGGGCUGAAGUAGGUCCCAAGGGUAUGGCUGUUCGCCAUUUAAAGUGGUACGCGAGCUGGGUUUAGAACGUCGUGAGACAGUUCGGUCCCUAUCUGCCGUGGGCGCUGGAGAACUGAGGGGGGCUGCUCCUAGUACGAGAGGACCGGAGUGGACGCAUCACUGGUGUUCGGGUUGUCAUGCCAAUGGCACUGCCCGGUAGCUAAAUGCGGAAGAGAUAAGUGCUGAAAGCAUCUAAGCACGAAACUUGCCCCGAGAUGAGUUCU
rnacentral:rRNA from 1 species